ACUCCGACUGGGUGCCACCUUCGAAAGGAGCGAUUUGAUCUGUUCAUCUGGCUUAUACGAAUGUUACGGAAGCAAUGCGCAACUUGUUUCACAAGAAGCUGAAGAUGUCUCGUCCGGGAUGCUGUGCCAACCUUAUCUGCAGCAGGAGAUUGCAGGGGCAGGACUAGGCAGCAGAUAAAGGCAUGCUGGCACCACCGAAAAGCUUGCACUCCACGUCUCAACUAUCACCGUCUGGGUUUCAAGCUGAAGGCUGUCACCAGUGCCAACCAGACGCCCCUUCAAAGUUCAUCUGUUUUUGUUGACGGAACAGUGACACCUGGUAAACCUGUCACGCAGAUGCCCUACCCCUUGGUAUGCAUAGUUCAAGAUUGUACCGAAACAAUCCACCUGGAGCAUUAUUCUUCAAUUGGCA